rnacentral:rRNA from 1 species
UACGUAGGGGGCAAGCGUUGUCCGGAAUUAUUGGGCGUAAAGAGCGUGUAGGCGGUCCGGUAAGUCAGCUGUGAAAGUCAAGGGCUCAACCCUUGAAAGCCGGUUGAUACUGUCGGGCUAGAGUCCGGAAGAGGCGAGUGGAAUUCCCGGUGUAGCGGUGAAAUGCGCAGAUAUCGGGAGGAACAUCAGUGGCGAAGGCGGCUACCUAGCCCAAUACUGACACUCAGGUGCGACAGCGUGGGGAGCAAACAGG